CCAGACUCCUACGGGAGGCAGCAGUGAGGAAUAUUGGUCAAUGGGCGCAAGCCUGAACCAGCCAAGUAGCGUGCAGGACGACGGCCCUAUGGGUUGUAAACUGCUUUUUAAGGUGAAUAAAGAGGGGCACGCGUGCCCUGUUGCAUGUAGCCUUGGAAUAAGGACCGGCUAAUUCCGUGCCAGCAGCCGCGGUAAUACGGAAGGUCCGGGUGUUAUCCGGAUUUAUUGGGUUUAAAGGGAGCGUAGGCCGUAGAUUAAGCGUGUUGUGAAAUGUAGAUGCUCAACAUCUGACUUGCAGCGCGAACUGGUUUACUUGAGUGUGCACAACGUAGGCGGAAUUCGUCGUGUAGCGGUGAAAUGCUUAGAUAUGACGAAGAACUCCGAUUGCGAAGGCAGCUUACGGGAGCACAACUGACGCUGAAGCUCGAAGGUGCGGGUAUCAAACAGGAUUAGAUACCCUGGUAGUCCGCACAGUAAACGCUGGAUGCCCGCUGUUGGUUCAUUAGAGUCAGCGGCCAAGCGAAAGCAUUAAGCAUCCCACCUGGGGAGUACGCCGGCAACGGUGAAACUCAAAGGAAUUGACGGGGGCCCGCACAAG
rnacentral:rRNA from 1 species